AAAAGGGGGUGAAGCAAAAUCUUGACUUGCAAGACGCACCGGUAUCUCUGUGAAAUGUUGCCGCCGCAACGCCAGGCAUGUUCUUCUUCUCUUUUAAUAUGCACAAGCCAAAAUAAUGUAAAAUCAUGCAGAUUGCUAAUAAUUCUCACCUUUUGGAAAGGUCAAGUAUGAAGUUUGCUCCCGAGCCACUAAACAAACUAUUAGUGAAGUUUGGGGUGACUCAACCAGCAACGGACACUGCCUAGUUUGCUCUGCUCUUCCGUUUCUGAUGCAGGAUCAAGGAUAAAAAAUGCAUCGUGGAAUUGGUUUUAUCACCUUUGCAAGUGCAGGUUAGGUUGUGUGCUCUACUCCUCACUACGUGCAUAUUUUAACUUGAUUGACACCUGUUGUACACACCUUUUCAAUGCGUACUAUAUGUGCCUACAGCUGUUGCUCUAUAUUUUAGUUUGUAUACUUU